GAUAAACGCUGGCGGCGUGCCUAACACAUGCAAGUCGAACGCCCUUUUGCGCAAGUGAGAGGGAGUGGCGGACGGGUGAGUACCACGUGGGUACCUACCUUGAGGUGAGGAAUACCACCGAGAAAUCGGGUGACAAGACCGCAUACGCUCGGGCAACCGAGCAAAGUCAUGGCAAAUGACGCCACAAGAUGAGCCUGCGCCUGAUUAGCUGGUUGGUGAGGUAACAGCUCACCCAAGGCGACGGAUCAGUAGCUGGUCUGAGAGGAUGAUCA
rnacentral:rRNA from 1 species